GGGGCGGCCUUACAUGCCAGUUCGAGCGAAGCACUUUUUUAGAACUCUUCUUGAUGGAAUAGAGGGUGACUUAGCGGCGGACGGUUGAGUAACGCGUGGGCAACCUGCCUUACACUGGGGGAUACCUAUUAGAAAUGAUUGCUAAUACCGCAUAAGACCACGGUACUGCAUGGUACAGAUGUAAAAACUGAUGUGGUGUACGAUGGGCCCGCGUCUGAUUACGUAGUUGGUGGGGUAGAAGCCUACCAAGCCGACGAUCAGUAGCCGACCUGAGAGGGCGACCGGCCACAUUGGGACUGAGACACGGCCCAAACUCCUACGGGAGGCAGCAGUGGGGAAUAUUGCACAAUGGGGGAAACCCUGAUGCAGCGACGCCGCGUGAGUGAGGAAGUAUUUCGGUAUGUAAAGCUCUAUCAGCAGGGAAGAAAAUGACGGUACCUGACUAAAAAGCCCCGGCUAACUACCUGCCAGCAGCCGCGGUAAUACGUAUGGGGCAAGCGUUAUCCGGAUUUACUGGGUGUAAAGGGAGCGUAAACGGACUUGCAAGUCUGAUGUGAAAAUCCGGGGCCCAACCCCGGAACUGCCUUGGAAACUGUAUAUCUAUAGUGUCUGAGAGGCCAGUGGAAUUCUCUGAUGUAGCGGUGAAAUGCGUAUAUAUCAUGAGGAACACCAGUGCCGAAGGCGGCUUGCUGGACCAUGACUGACCUUCGAAGCUCCAAAACGUGGGGAACCAACACGAAUAAAUACACUGUUAGUCCCCGCCUUAAACAAUGACUACUAAGUGUCGGGAGUCUUAGCUCUUUUCUGUCGACUCCCCCCUUAUAAUAAAUAUCCCACCUGGGGAAGUAUUUUCACUCCAAUGAAUUCCAUAGGACUUGCCGCCCACCCCUUACUUUUUUU
rnacentral:rRNA from 1 species